UGCUGGCCAGAAGAGGGCGCCAGAUCUCAUUAUGGAUGGUUGUGAUCUACCAUGUGGUUGGGUUUUCAAGAUGAUUUCUAUGCAUCAGUUUGAUAAAUUUGAAAAUGCAGAGAAAAGAUGAGCAUUUUAGCAAGAAGACAAAGAAGUUCAAGAUGGUCGAACCCUAUCUACAGAAGAGGGUGUCCUUCUGCUGUGCCUCCACUUAAGAAUCCUAGCUACAAGGAUGACACCAGCUAAGAC